UACGUAGGGCGCAAGCGUUAUCCGGAAUUAUUGGGCGUAAAGAGCUCGUAGGCGGUUUGUCGCGUCUGGUGUGAAAACUCGAGGCUCAACCUCGAGCUUGCAUCGGGUACGGGCAGACUAGAGUGCGGUAGGGGAGACUGGAAUUCCUGGUGUAGCGGUGGAAUGCGCAGAUAUCAGGAGGAACACCGAUGGCGAAGGCAGGUCUCUGGGCCGCAACUGACGCUGAGGAGCGAAAGCGUGGGGAGCGAACAGG
rnacentral:rRNA from 1 species